UUAGAGUUUGAUCCUGGCUCAGAAUCAACGCUGGCGGCGUGCCUCAGACAUGCAAGUCGAACGGUUAAGACUCCCUUCGGGGAGUGUAUAAAGUGGCGCACGGGUGAGUAACACGUGGGUAAUCUACCUCCGGGUGGGGGAUAACCUGCCGAAAGGUGGGCUAAUACCGCAUAAUGCAGCGGCACCGAAUGGUGACAGUUGUUAAAGGAGCAAUCCGCCUGGAGAGGAGCCUGCGGCCGAUUAGCUAGUUGGUAGGGUAAUGGCCUACCAAGGCGACGAUCGGUAGCCGGCCUGAGAGGGCGGUCGGCCACACUGGCACUGAAACACGGGCCAGACUCCUACGGGAGGCAGCAGUCGGGAAUUUUGGGCAAUGGGCGAAAGCCUGACCCAGCAACGCCGCGUGAGGGAUGAAGUCCUUCGGGAUGUAAACCUCGUAAGCAUGGGAAGAAUAAAUGACGGUACCAUGCGUAAGCCCCGGCUAACUACGUGCCAGCAGCCGCGGUAAUACGUAGGGGGCAAGCGUUGUUCGGAUUUACUGGGCGUAAAGCGCGUGUAGGCGGUGCGUUAAGUCAGCCGUGAAAGCCCUAAGCUUAACUUAGGAAAGCCGGUUGAUACUGACGCACUAGAGUGUAGAAGAGGCAACUGGAAUUCUCGGUGUAGCGGUGAAAUGCGUAGA
rnacentral:rRNA from 1 species